rnacentral:rRNA from 1 species
UACGGAGGGUGCAAGCGUUGCUCGGAAUUAUUGGGCGUAAAGGGCAGGUAGGUGGUCUUAUUUGUCCGGGGUGAAAUCCUUGAGCUUAACUCAAGAAGUGCCCCGGAGACGGUGAGACUAGAGUUUUGGAGAGGGUCGUGGAAUUCCCGGUGUAGCGGUGAAAUGCGUAGAGAUGUGGAGGAACACCGAUGGCGAAGGCAGCCCCCUGGGUCAAGAUUGACGCUCAUGCACGAAAGCGUGGGGAGCAAACAGG